rnacentral:rRNA from 1 species
GCCAACGUUCAUAUCACGUUGAAUACACCAGUUCUCGUCCGAUCACUGAAGUUAAGCAACGUUGAGCGUGGAUAGUACUUGAUACACCAGUUCUCGUCCGAUCACUGAAGUUAAGCAACGUUGAGC